rfam:Anaerolineae bacterium CG2_30_58_95 cg2_3.0_scaffold_11205_c, whole genome shotgun sequence.
CGGGGUGUGGCUCAGUUUGGCUAGAGCACGCGGUUCGGGACCGCGAGGUCGGCGGUUCAAAUCCGCCCGCCCCGA